CAAACAAAUAUAAUACGUGUUUAAAACGUCUUUAAAAGACUAAAGUCAUCAUUAAAAAAUGUUUUAAAUACUUUUUUUUGAAGUUUUUAUUUGAGACCACAAAGGCAUGCGAAAAAAAUGUGUAUUCUGAACGUCUUUUGAAGACGACCUUUAGUCGAAUAUAUUUGAAUAAAGAUAAAUACUAAUUGUAAAAAAUAAAUGUUGUUAUUCAGCUAUUGCUUCUUAUUUAUUGACUCGAUUUAUAGACAGCUUUUUGUACAUCUUUACGUUCUUGGUUGUUACUCUAUUCUCCAGUUAAGUUAUUCUCUAAACACAACAUUAUUAACCAAUCACCUUACACUUUCAUCCUCCAAUCAAUUAAGAUAUUUUUUGACCAAUAGCGUUAUUAUUUACUAAGGCUUCGCUUGAGGGAUAUUUUGAUUAACCGCAAUUUUACGUCAUACAACAUCUGUGUAUAAUAUCACAAUUUACAUGCGCUCUUUAAACUGCUCAUUGGCAUUGCGCAAAAUAUCCUUCAAGACUUAUUCUUAUUCAAUAUCAAAUUAUGAUUAUUUUCCGUAAACCUGAUGGCGAAUAUGAACAUUAAAGGGAGUAAACGUAAAGGCAGAGAAAACAAAAUAUCGUUUGAAAACCUUAAGUUAAAGGACGUUAUGUUUGAAGCGUUACAAGACAGGUAUACCGUUAGUGAAAAAGAAUUAUUUAGAGUUGUCGGGAAUAAACUAAAGAAUGCACCAGGAAGAUUGAACCAUUCCAUUGAUAUCUAACAUUUAUAUUAUAUUAUAUGUAUAUAGUUUAUGUUAUAGUAUAUAGUUACUUUUUUUAAAUAAAUAAACAAUAAUAUUAUACAA
rnacentral:lncRNA from 1 species